AUGAGAAUUAGAUCUUUGCUCAUCUUCCUUCAGGCUGUCAUCUGGAAAGAGGUUGGAAGCCUGGGUCUAGUAGUAGUCUUUCUACCUUGGGGCUCACAUCUGGAAGUAGGCUUUGAGGAUUCAGGCAAGAUUGUGCCCACCUCCCUAGGGGGACUGUCCCGAAGUCUUUACAUAUGGAAUUAAGACACAUUUAGAGUGUUGAGGAGGCAUUUCCUAGAACUGGCUGGGACUUCAAGUGCAGAGGAGGGUUGAUAGGAAUAGGAAAUGAAAGGAAUUUCUCCCCCUAAAACAGCCUUUAGGAGAUGGCUAAUGUUUAAAAUACAGAGUCCCCUUCUUAAAGAGAAGCAGGUGACAUGGCUGAGUCCCAGAUGCUUAUGGUAAACGUUUCUGCCUGGUAAUGUCUGACUGCAGCUGCUAAAAAUCUUGAGGUUAAGUGGGCGCAAGGCAACAGUUUUACUUGUGUUGAUUUCUUCACAGUCCGUACCGAAAGAGCCUUUAGACAACUCAGUCACUGCAACUUACUAAAAGUUAAAGAAUAAAUCUGUCAUUUUCACACGGCCUCUUUUAACCUUUAUGAAAUCAUAAUAUUCAAUAGUAGUUAGUAGUAACUUGAAAUGGUGUAGUUACAGCUAUAAGAUGGGAACUCACACUUCUCUAAAGGACAGAUGAUUUUCUGAGCUCUCACUGAAAACCAUGAAGUGCUUUGCUUUCCUCUUUGAAUUUGUUUCUGUUUGCAUGUUGUUAUAAGAAAACUCAUUGCUUAAAGGCUUAUACUAGAAUUAUCUUUUAUGACACUUUCAGUUCCCAUCCUCACUUCCAUGUUUAGUUACUCUCAACUUACUCUUUGGCGUGUCCAUUUCAGUUACUAUCUUUCAAAUUCCUAUAUAGUAAGCUUAGUUUCUGCACAGUUAUCUUUUCAACUCAGCAUGAUGGCACACUUAGAGCUUUCAGUAGCCACAGCCUCCCACUGCUCCCCACUGUGUGCGCUGCUGGCACCAAUAUGUGCAGUCCACUCUGGCCUUGCCUUGGUGGCUUCAUUACCUUUUAAAGCUUUGUAGCAUUUACAUAACCAUUAUCAAGCCUUUACUUUGCCUCAGAGAAUUCUGCAGUAUAUAUAUAUAUAUGUAUUGUAUGUGUGUAUAUGCCAAACUUAAUCCUUCACUUCUUGCAUCUUUUUAUUAUACUGGCUUCAUUUUAUUUCAGAGUAAUGUCACAUAGUUUUCAAACGCACCUAAUUUUUUUCCACCAGGACUUCCAUUGUCCAGCCUUUAACUAAGCUGAUUGUCCUCUGGUUUUACUGGAUGCUGUCAGUCCAGGAUGUCACUGACAAUCAUCCUAAAGUGGACUUGGUUGGUUUCUGAAACCUAUUUUCCUCCUCAUGUCUCCCAUUCACCUUUUUUUCCCUUUCCCAUACCUUGUCUGCUGCUGCCUCUGGAUUUCUAGAAAUAAAACUGUGUAUAUGCCUGUAUGACCAACAGGUUAUCUUUCUUUU
rnacentral:lncRNA from 1 species